rnacentral:tRNA from 1 species
UCCCUGGUGGUCCAGUGGUUAGGAAUCUGCCUUGCAAAUGCAGGUGACCUAUGUUCCAUUCCUGGUCAGGGAA